GCCCCUGGUAGCUCAAUGGCGAGCGCCGGACUCGUAAUCCGGAGGAUGUGGGUUCGAAUCCCACCCGGGGCC
rnacentral:tRNA from 1 species